rnacentral:rRNA from 1 species
GGGAUUCACGGAUCCAGAGUUUGAUUCUGGCUCAGAUUGAACGCUGGCGGCAGGCCUAACACAUGCAAGUMGAGCGGUACACAGGGAGCUUGCUCCUGGGUGACGAGCGGCGGACGGGUGAGUAAUGUCUGGGAAACUGCCUGAUGGAGGGGGAUAACUACUGGAAACGGUAGCUAAUACCGCAUAACGUCGCAAGACCAAAGAGGGGGACCUUCGGGCCUCUUGCCAUCAGAUGUGCCCAGAUGGGAUUAGCUAGUAGGUGGGGUAACGGCUCACCUAGGCGACGAUCCCUAGCUGGUCUGARAGGAUGACCAGCCACACUGGAACUGAGACACGGUCCAGACUCCUACGGGAGGCAGCAGUGGGGAAUAUUGCACAAUGGGCGCAAGCUGAUGCAGCCAUGCCGCGUGUAUGAAGAAGGCCUUCGGGUUGUAAAGUACUUUCAGCGGGGAGGAAGGCGAUAAGGUUAAUAACCUUGUCGAUUGACGUUACCCGCAGAAGAAGCACCGGCUAACUCCGUGCCAGCAGCCGCGGUAAUACGGAGGGUGCAAGCGUUAAUCGGAAUUACUGGGCGUAAAGCGCACGCAGGCGGUCUGUCAAGUCGGAUGUGAAAUCCCCGGGCUCAACCUGGGAACUGCAUUCGAAACUGGCAGGCUAGAGUCUUGUAGAGGGGGGUAGAAUUCCAGGUGUAGCGGUGAAAUGCGUAGAGAUCUGGAGGAAUACCGGUGGCGAAGGCGGCCCCCUGGACAAAGACUGACGCUCAGGUGCGAAASGUGGGGGAGCAAACAGGAUUAGAUACCCUGGUAGUCCACGCCGUAAACGAUGUCGACUUGGAGGUUGUGCCCUUGAGGCGUGGCUUCCGGAGCUAACGCGUUAAGUCGACCGCCUGGGGGAGUACGGCCGCAAGGUUAAAACUCAAAUGAAUUGACGGGGGCCGCACAAGCGGUGGAGCAUGUGGUUUAAUUCGAUGCAACGCGAAGAACCUUACCUACUCUUGACAUCARAGAMCUUCCAGAGAUGRAUUGGKGCYUYCGGAACYCUARAMAGGUSYGCAUGGCUGUCGUMACYCGUGUGUAAAUGUGGGUKAAGYCCGCACGAGGS